rnacentral:rRNA from 1 species
CUUCCGUUGAAUGACGUGCUUGCACUGAUUUCAACAAUGAAGCGAGUGGCGAACUGGUGAGUAACACGUGGGAAAUCUGCCCAGAAGCAGGGGAUAACACUUGGAAACAGGUGCUAAUACCGUAUAACAACAAAAUCCGCAUGGAUUUUGUUUGAAAGGUGGCUUCGGCUAUCACUUCUGGAUGAUCCCGCGGCGUAUUAGUUAGUUGGUGAGGUAAAGGCCCACCAAGACGAUGAUACGUAGCCGACCUGAGAGGGUAAUCGGCCACAUUGGGACUGAGACACGGCCCAAACUCCUACGGGAGGCAGCAGUAGGGAAUCUUCCACAAUGGACGAAAGUCUGAUGGAGCAAUGCCGCGUGAGUGAAGAAGGGUUUCGGCUCGUAAAACUCUGUUGUUAAAGAAGAACACCUUUGAGAGUAACUGUUCAAGGGUUGACGGUAUUUAACCAGAAAGCCACGGCUAACUACGUGCCAGCAGCCGCGGUAAUACGUAGGUGGCAAGCGUUGUCCGGAUUUAUUGGGCGUAAAGCGAGCGCAGGCGGUUUUUUAAGUCUGAUGUGAAAGCCUUCGGCUUAACCGG